GUUUACUUCUUGAAUAAAUAAUGAUGGAAAUUCACUUGCAACUUUGAAUGUCUUUUAUUUAUUUUGCUGUACAUUUUCGUGUCGUUUGCAUACCUUUUUUGCUUUCUACCACUCAAGUAAUCGGAAAACAGGCUUCAUACAUCUCAUGCAUUUUUUAUUUAAGGAGACUAGCGUACAUGUUUCGCACGCAAGCGCGUGCGUGUCGUUUUUCAAAUAUUUAUUUUAAUGUAUAUUUUCGUGUUGUUUAAAUAGGUAUAUUUUUUUGCUUUCGACCAAUCAAGUAAAUGGAAAAGAGGCUUUAUACAUUUUAUGCCUCUUUUAUUCAGGGAUUAUUUAGGGAUAACUUAUAUUUCCAUGAAGCCAGUUUUCGGUCCUUUUUGCCACGAACGCAUUCCUGUUUUUCCGCAUACACAGUCGCUCAUCAUUUACUGAUCUCUAACGCCAGAAUCUGUCAGUAGAUUUUCUAAAAUUUUCAUAAGGUCUUAACUCAUAAAAAUUUACUUUAAGAUAAAUAUUCUGAUUCCUCAAGUAUGGCGCUUUAUUUAGUGCUUAAAGUUGGGCGUGAUAUGUAUAAUAACGAAGUAUGUAUGAUUGAGGGAUUCCAUGAUGAUCUUUGGGAAAGGUACAAAGAAUAUUUCAAUUUACGCAAACUGGGCCCUACUUUCGAUAGGUGUAGAAGGAGAAAUGUGGAUGGAACAUAUGACAGUCCCAGCGAUGUGUGGUAUGGAAGUAUAUUUUUUUGCUUUCGACCAAUCAAGUAAAUGGAAAAGAGGCUUUAUACAUUUCAUGCCUCUUUUAUUCAGGGAUUAUUUAGGGAUAACUUACAUUUCCAUGAAGCCAGUUUUCGGUCCUUUUUGCCACGAAUGCAUUCCUGUUUUUCCGCAUACACAGUCGCUCAUCAUUUACUGAUCUCCAACGCCAGAAAGUGUCAGUAGAUUUUCUAAAAUUUUCAUAAGGUCUCAACUUAUAAAAAUUUACUUUAAGAUAAAUAUUCCGAUUCCUCAAGUAUGGCGCUUUAUUUAGUGCUUAAAGUUGGGGGUGAUUUGCGUGAUAACGAAAUAUGUAUGAUUGAGGGAUUCCAUGAUGAUCUUUGGGAAAGGUACAAAGAAUAUUUCAAUUUACGCAAACUGGGCCCUACUUUCGAUAGGAGUGAUAGUAGAAAUGUGGAUGGAACAUAUGACAGUCCCAGCGAUGUGUGGUAUGGAAUUAAACUAGUAAAAGCACUAAACUUUUUGGCUGAUAAUGGCUAUCGCGUGGUUUCUUCAAUGAGCAGCAGUCCUGCCGCAGUAGUGAUCUUGGAAAGAAAACAAUAAAUAUUUUAAAUAAAACAUCAUCUGAUUAAAAAUCAAAUAUGUAUAUUUGCUAUCUCAAAUAACAAAUCACAAUCCAUAAAAAAAAUUAGGAUGAUUAGUAGAAAAUUAAUUUUUUAUUUAAAUUAUUACUAUCUAGAUUGUAAUUUUUAUUUAUCAUAAUCAUUACAAUUCUAAAUAGAGAUAAUUACUUACAAAAUUUAAAAAUCGCUCAUUUCUGUAAUGAUACACGAAAUAAAAUGUACAAUU